GGGUUGUGAGGUUAAGCGACUAAGCGUACACGGUGGAUGCCCUGGCAGUCAGAGGCGAUGAAGGACGUGCUAAUCUGCGAAAAGCGUCGGUAAGGUGAUAUGAACCGUUACAGCCGGCGAUGUCCGAAUGGGGAAACCCAGUGCAAUUCGUUGCACUAUCGUUAACUGAAUACAUAGGUUAACGAGGCGAACCGGGGGAACUGAAACAUCUAAGUACCCCGAGGAAAAGAAAUCAACCGAGAUUCCCCCAGUAGCGGCGAGCGAACGGGGAGCAGCCCAGAGUCUGAAUCAGCUUGUGUGUUAGUGGAACGGUCUGGAAAGUCCGACGGUACAGGGUGAUAGUCCCGUACACCAAAAUGCACAGGCUGUGAACUCGAAGAGUAGGGCGGGACACGUGGUAUCCUGUCUGAAUAUGGGGGGACCAUCCUCCAAGGCUAAAUACUCCUGACUGACCGAUAGUGAACCAGUACCGUGAGGGAAAGGCGAAAAGAACCCCGGCGAGGGGAGUGAAAAAGAACCUGAAACCGUGUACGUACAAGCAGUGGGAGCACCUUCGGGUGUGACUGCGUACCUUUUGUAUAAUGGGUCAGCGACUUAUAUUCUGUAGCAAGGUUAACCGUAUAGGGGAGCCGCAGGGAAACCGAGUCUUAACUGGGCGUUAAGUUGCAGGGUAUAGACCCGAAACCCGGUGAUCUAGCCAUGGGCAGGUUGAAGGUUGGGUAACACUAACUGGAGGACCGAACCGACUAAUGUUGAAAAAUUAGCGGAUGACUUGUGGCUGGGGGUGAAAGGCCAAUCAAACCGGGAGAUAGCUGGUUCUCCCCGAAAGCUAUUUAGGUAGCGCCUCGUGAAUUCAUCUUCGGGGGUAGAGCACUGUUUCGGCUAGGGGGUCAUCCCGACUUACCAACCCGAUGCAAACUACGAAUACCGAAGAAUGUUAUCACGGGAGACACACGGCGGGUGCUAACGUCCGUCGUGAAGAGGGAAACAACCCAGACCGCCAGCUAAGGUCCCAAAGUCAUGGUUAAGUGGGAAACGAUGUGGGAAGGCACAGACAGCCAGGAUGUUGGCUUAGAAGCAGCCAUCAUUUAAAGAAAGCGUAAUAGCUCACUGGUCGAGUCGGCCUGCGCGGAAGAUGUAACGGGGCUAAACCAUGCACCGAAGCUGCGGCAGCGACACUAUGUGUUGUUGGGUAGGGGAGCGUUCUGUAAGCCUGCGAAGGUGUGCUGUGAGGCAUGCUGGAGGUAUCAGAAGUGCGAAUGCUGACAUAAGUAACGAUAAAGCGGGUGAAAAGCCCGCUCGCCGGAAGACCAAGGGUUCCUGUCCAACGUUAAUCGGGGCAGGGUGAGUCGACCCCUAAGGCGAGGCCGAAAGGCGUAGUCGAUGGGAAACAGGUUAAUAUUCCUGUACUUGGUGUUACUGCGAAGGGGGGACGGAGAAGGCUAUGUUAGCCGGGCGACGGUUGUCCCGGUUUAAGCAUGUAGGCUGGUUGUCCAGGCAAAUCCGGAUAAUCAAGGCUGAGGUGUGAUGACGAGGCACUACGGUGCUGAAGUAACAAAUGCCCUGCUUCCAGGAAAAGCCUCUAAGCAUCAGGUAACAUUAAAUCGUACCCCAAACCGACACAGGUGGUCAGGUAGAGAAUACCAAGGCGCUUGAGAGAACUCGGGUGAAGGAACUAGGCAAAAUGGUGCCGUAACUUCGGGAGAAGGCACGCUGGUGUGUAGGUGAAGUCCCUGCGGAUGGAGCUGAGACCAGUCGAAGAUACCAGCUGGCUGCAACUGUUUAUUAAAAACACAGCACUGUGCAAACACGAAAGUGGACGUAUACGGUGUGACGCCUGCCCGGUGCCGGAAGGUUAAUUGAUGGGGUUAUCCGUAAGGAGAAGCUCUUGAUCGAAGCCCCGGUAAACGGCGGCCGUAACUAUAACGGUCCUAAGGUAGCGAAAUUCCUUGUCGGGUAAGUUCCGACCUGCACGAAUGGCGUAAUGAUGGCCAGGCUGUCUCCACCCGAGACUCAGUGAAAUUGAACUCGCUGUGAAGAUGCAGUGUACCCGCGGCAAGACGGAAAGACCCCGUGAACCUUUACUAUAGCUUGACACUGAACAUUGAGCCUUGAUGUGUAGGAUAGGUGGGAGGCUUUGAAGCGUGGACGCCAGUCUGCGUGGAGCCAACCUUGAAAUACCACCCUUUAAUGUUUGAUGUUCUAACGUUGGCCCCUUACCGGGGUUGCGGACAGUGUCUGGUGGGUAGUUUGACUGGGGCGGUCUCCUCCCAAAGCGUAACGGAGGAGCACGAAGGUUAGCUAAUCCUGGUCGGACAUCAGGAGGUUAGUGCAAUGGCAUAAGCUAGCUUGACUGCGAGCGUGACGGCGCGAGCAGGUGCGAAAGCAGGUCAUAGUGAUCCGGUGGUUCUGAAUGGAAGGGCCAUCGCUCAACGGAUAAAAGGUACUCCGGGGAUAACAGGCUGAUACCGCCCAAGAGUUCAUAUCGACGGCGGUGUUUGGCACCUCGAUGUCGGCUCAUCACAUCCUGGGGCUGAAGUAGGUCCCAAGGGUAUGGCUGUUCGCCAUUUAAAGUGGUACGCGAGCUGGGUUUAGAACGUCGUGAGACAGUUCGGUCCCUAUCUGCCGUGGGCGCUGGAGAAUUGAGGGGGGCUGCUCCUAGUACGAGAGGACCGGAGUGGACGCAUCACUGGUGUUCGGGUUGUCAUGCCAAUGGCACUGCCCGGUAGCUAAAUGCGGAAGAGAUAAGUGCUGAAAGCAUCUAAGCACGAAACUUGCCCCGAGAUGAGUUCUCCCUGAGACUUUAAGUCUCCUGAAGGAACGUUGAAGACGACGACGUUGAUAGGCCGGGUGUGUAAGCGCAGCGAUGCGUUGAGCUAACCGGUACUAAUGAACCGUGAGGCUUAACCUUACAACGCCGAAG
rnacentral:rRNA from 1 species